GUGUUUGUGUGUGUCUGUGUCUUUGUGUCUGUUCUGUGUGCAUCUAUGUGUGUGUGUGUGUGUCUUUGUGUGUCUAUGAGAUGCUUUUUGAGAGUUUGGAGAGUCCAAGAAGAAUGCGGAAAGAAAGACUUACGUGAUAGCUACCAAGCUUCCUAAAUGUUACACAGGCUUUAAAAUGCCUAACACACUUGCCCCUUUCUCUGUCUUCAGUUGAUCAUCCAUCAUUUUUCCAGUUCCCUGUCUCUCUUCAAACAGACCAUUCAGAAGAGUCCCCCAGACCACACUAAUGGCAGUCACUGGGCACUUCCCACAGGUCUCAGAGCUGGCUGCUUACGUUCUGUUCCAUGCUGGGUACAUUCUGUUCCACGCUGCACAUGUGAGAGGAGAGAAGGAUGAAGAAUGGAUCGAGAUGUUGAGUGGGAGAGGAGGAGACAUCUCCCCACGUUCAAGGUUGCCAUUUACCUGAAUCAGCGGAUUCACGUCCUGUCUGCAUUUGGAAUUCAAACCUGUAAUUGAUAUUACUGUCCCAUCACUCUAACACAUCUCUUUCUCCAUCCUGUGAAAUACCAAGGCAGAGAGGUCUCAAAAACAGGAUGCCAGAAUCAAUGAUCCCUCACAUGCUGAAGGAGGAAUAUCUUUCCCAGCUGUGCGAGGAUUGGGAUUAAGUGUAAGAGAUACCCAGUUAGUAACCAGUCAUUCACCCAUGUUUCUUUAAUCUCUUUUGACCUGGGGGUUUUGCAUCAGUAAAAUGAGGGGCUGGGUGGUGUUAAUCACUUUCCAAGUGUUUUUGACUCUGACCACAGUAAUACCCACAAUACCAAUGGGUGUAUUUAAAUACAUCUUAAAAUGUGUUUCCACUGAAUUUCACCCACUCAACAUUUGAUGCAUCCUGAUAAUUAAUAUUCUAUUUCUUUUUAAAAACUAAAUUCUGGUUGUCAUGAUCAUUAAGAUGAUUUAAAGACCUGGUAAAGGGGAUACACUGGCAGUUUGAAAAGUAUCGGGUGAUUUUCAAGUAUUCAUUUACUUGGUCAAUCGUUUUAUAACUGUUUACUGAGUAUUUAUGAGGUGCCAGACACUGUGAUGGAAGCUGAGAUAAAUGCCACUGAACAAAGGACUUAUCCUUGGGAAACUUACAUACUGUGGAGUCUCUAACUCUGUGAAGUUGUGUUUGAUAGAAAUUUUCAUAGGGAAGGGAAUUCCAAGUGAAUCAGUUAAGAUAAUAGAAUGGGUUUGACUUAGAGGAAAAAGCAUCAGAAGUACAAUUUUUUUUCAACCCUCUAGAAGGAACCCACUGCAAGACUAAAAUAGUCUAAACUUAAAUUGUGUGAUUUUUGUGUCAAAUGAAGAUUUCCUGUGUCCUAAACCUUCAGAA